rnacentral:lncRNA from 1 species
CCGUGCGGUACGCUGAAGUGCGCCCUCAAGCGGUUAUGAGACGCGCGUGUACUGUAACCAUGGAAGGCGCCAUGUUCGCACAUGUUUUGGCGAAAUUCCCGCAGUGAAAUGCCAAGAUUCUUGCUAAAAGUCAACUGUUAGUUUGACAUUGAUUGAAAUCCUACAGCUUGUGGCUCUCAGGUGUACCCUGAUAUUUUGGGGAUUAACAUUGAUCCGUAUUUUUGCUGCCUGGACAGUCACAGUCUGGAACUCUGCUCCACAUCUUGAGUGGAUCAAGCCGUUGGUGACUGGACUGGCCACAUGUGAGUUUACACAUGUUACAUCUUCACAAGGACAGGAAUUACAUGUAUGCUGUCUGCAUAAGGUGAACUACCGUGGGAGCAUCCCUCACAUCAGUCUAUCUCCAAGCAGGAGGGAUCUUGUGAAGAAACCGUUUACUGUGUAGCGUAUACAGUGACGUUGAACUGUGGUUUCGCCGGAACUCCACGAAGUGAAGUGAACUGAACUGACUAGUCAAUCAACAUUUUUGGAUUGGGACUUGAUAGCCUUAGAGUGACAUCAAGAGUCUCAAAUAUCCUUGUUAGAAUAUAUUUAGGGCCCUAAUAUUGUCUGUAUACCGGUAUUUUGUUUUUGUCAGAAAGAUAAAUGAGUGUUUAUUUCAUAAAGUGUCAUUGUUGACCUAAACAUUUACAUGUAGGCCUACUUAAAGUUUUUUUCUUGAUUAUCAUCAUCAGCGCUGGUGUUAUAGAUUUUGAUGUAGAGUUCUGACCGAGUUUUCAAAUUAAAGAUUUUCUAGUUCAGUAUAAUUUA